GACCAACUUCCUCACCUCUAGCCUCCUAACACCACACAGAUGGGCCGUAUAUGAGCACAUUUGCCAGGGCUGUCAAAAUGUAAACACACUCAGCUGGUAGCAGAUGUUUUCCAAGAAAGAUCACUACACUGGAGUUGUUCUGCUGUGGAUUCCAUUCUCUCUGGCCCUGGGUCAACCACAGUGUGAAAGCAGAUCAUCAGGAGGUCAAUGGUGGCCUCAUGCUACGUCACAGUAACUACGUUGUUCACCUCACUUCACCUUAUCACGCAUAGUCUCACGUCAUCACAAGAAGGGAAAGAACCGACCCGGGAGCUACAAGCAGUACCUGCAGCAGCAGGGAGCCACACCCUCUUCUCCCCAGGUGAGAUUUACAAGCCUCUCCUUGUAAAUCCUCCAGAAUCUCUCAACCCAGCUCUGCACUCAGAGCCACAUCAGUGAAGCCUUUAGAAUCCUUUCUGUCAAGGGGAGCUGUUGAACCACACAACUUGAAUUUGUGUGAAAUACCCCAAUAGGAGCACACCGGGGAAGACUCUGCCUGACCAAACAAAGGCAUUUCUACCCCACUUAGCAGCCAGAGUCUGCUCUAGGUUAAUCGCUCUGCUUACUGCAGGAGGAUCAUUUCCCAGAGCCUCUAAGAGCCGUAGCUUCUCCCCAAAGUGUAAAGCAUUGGGCACAUUUCCCUAGGUCUAGACAGAGCUCCGAAAUGCCAUCUUGAAGUUGCUUCAACAACCGUCCCCACCACCCCACCUUUUUUUAAGCUCAUUGACUGGCAUCUCUCCUAGCUUAAGCUUGCAUACAAGUAGAAAAUUCUGAUUUCUUGUUUCAUGCGUGGGUAGCUGUUUAUUGUUAUCAUUUGCUGGUCCGCUAAGCUCUUCGAUGACUUUAGAAGGCAAGUUAAGCACCGCCAGUUCACAGCUGAGUACCUCGGCUGGCACGGAGCCGCGCCGGAUGCAAGCUUAUUUGGAAGUCUGGUGUUUGUUCAUGCUCUUACUUCUGCUUCAAAAAACAGCAAUUAAUCAAGACAUCUGACAAGUCCUCCGGGAUUGCUUUAUGACAUCUAGCUGCCCAGAACCACCUGUGCCCCCGCCACCCCAAAGGGAGCACCGUUCACUAAUAUUGCGGGAGAUGGGUCAUGAUGAAGAUCCUUGUGGUGACGCCACUCGUAACUGUUGUUUCUUCCUAAACAUUCAUACGCUGUGCCUGAUUUUUUUGUGACAAAUAGCCACCCGUUAACUAGAUAUUUAAGGUGAAGUCCUUGACCAUUAGGAAGAGUAACAAUGAUAAUAAUUAAUAAGUGCUGUUUAUUCAUUUUUCUUCUUUAAUCUUUAUAGUAACUGUGACAGGUACAACUACUCUAGUUUUAUUAAUGAGAAAGUGAAGCACAGGGAGUUAAAAUACAGCUGCGAAGAGUAUAAUGUUAUGGGUAGAAUUUUUUCCUUGCUAUUAUUUCUACCUUUAUCUCCCAUACAAAGCAAUGUGUUCAUCAUUAUAGGAUGUGAUUUGAGAAAAAGAAACUUCCAGUCUCUGGCUCUACCCGCAAACUGCAGUUUAGUAUUGUUAGCAUGUGAGGAAAAACAUCAUGUUAGAAACUGCACCUUUGAAGGAGAGACACCAAAUGAGGGAAGAGGAGGAUACCUUGCCCUCCAGAAGAGAGAAAAUUCCUGCUGGGUUAGAUGUCUUUGUAUGUGUGGUGGUACCAGAAAUAAAGAAAAAAAAAAUGAUGAAAGAGGUCCUGAAGGGAGCAUCUUGCUUUCUGUGAGCAGCCUCAGGAAAUGUUAAUCAUUAACAAUCUGUGCUCUACUUGGAACCCUGGAUAGCCUACGGGAGAUUCCCACAUGAUGGGUGCCAGGGAAAGAUGACUCUGGAAGUUAAGUGUGAAUGGGUAGAUGAAUGGGUUUUUGUGACCAAGAUGAAUAUUCGAUGCUCAUUAUGUAGAGAACUAGUGAUGAUGAUCUGGAGGGAAAGUCAAUUUUAACCUGGCAAAAUUGAGUUUGUGGUGACAGCAGGGCAUGGAGCAUGAGACAUCUGAAAAACAAAUCAGAAACAGUACAAAGAAGGAGGGGAGAUCUGAAGUAGGGGCCUGACUUAAGAGUUGAGCGUCAAGAUGUGAUAUUCCAAAGGCAUUUAAUAUAAGCAGCUGUUAUGUUCCCCACUCGUUUUUAUAUUCCCAAUUCCUUAAACAAUCCUUAGUAUAUUACUUAUUGGACUCACUGGACCAAUGUAUAAAAAGAAUAGAUAAAGAGGGAAAGAAACCAGAUAAAAGGGGAGGAAAAACCAAGAGCAUAACCUGCCAAAAAAUGGAAAGGAUUGAAAUCUCCUUGAAUAUCAGGAUAAUCUUUAAAUUGAAGGUAUAGAUUAUUCUAGAGGUUUUAAACCUGGCUCUAUAUUCAUACCACUUGGUGAGAUUUAAAAGGAUAAUAAAAGAAUGGCUGGUCAGACCACUUAAAUUCAAAUCUCUUGCAGCGGGGUACAGAUAGCAGGAUUUUUAAAAUGCUGCUCCCCUUCUGAUUUUAAGGCUCAGCCAUAAUCAAGAAUCACUGGAUUCGAUGAUCUGCAUGCUCUCUUAAAUCACGAAUUCUAACUUACUGAAAAAUUUUAAGUGCUUGCUAUAUUAAAAAAUAGCUAUUUUUGCUUUGAUUUUCCCAAACCUUCUCAGUCUACUGCUUGCUUCAAAGCAUCAUUAUCCUUCCAGAACCCAAAGUCAUUUCUGACCUUUGUUUCUCCCCCAUCCCCUGCAUCCCACCAGAUCACAUCCCACUGAUGCUUUCCCUCAAUUUAUUCUUCCCUUUACAUUUUCUAUGCCACGGCUGUGGUUUGCCUCUACACUCUUGCUAUGGUGUUACUUUAUUAUAUGAUCUCUUUAACUUGAAUUUCUUGUCUCUGCCAUCUAUUACUUUCUUUGCCACCAAACUUACCUUCUGGAACACCCGUCAGACUGUGACACCCUCUGGCCAAGAAACCUUUAUGGAUUUCUAUUGCUUAGAAGGUAGAGUCCAAACUCUUUAGGCUUGCAUCCAAAGUUCUACAUGAACUAACCUCAACCUCCCUUUCCAGUCUCUACCCUCAUUUAUUCUCGCUCUCUCCCCAUGUUCUAACCUCCAGAAUCAUCUGUGCUCAGGCUUCCCCAUACCCAUUAACUAAUUUUGUUAUGUCUUUGUGUUUCCUUCACCUACCCAAAUCUGAAUUUUUCAGAAAGCAUUAGCGCAAAACCCGUUUCAGGAAUCCUUUUCCUUCCUGAGUCAGAAUUAAUUCUUCGUUUUGCUCUUCUCUCCUGUCACGUAGUAUCUAUAUUCCAGCACUUAAUACAUUAUGUCUUACUUUAUGGUUAAUUGCUUUCAACUUCUCUCUCCCACACUACAUUGUGAUCCCUCCGAGCCCAACUGUCAAGGUUUAGCAUCUUCAUACCCCACAUUUUAUCUAGCACCGUGCUUUAUAAAGAGUAAGUACUUAAUAUAGGCUUAUUGCUCUGGCUUGAACUGAGUUGACUAGAACUAUGCUAAAAGUAUUUUUACAUAAAAGUUUAAAAAAUUAAAUAAAUAUGUCCUGGGAACCUAGUAAACACUUUCCCACAAGAGGCAUGCGAUGAACUUUAAUAUAACUAAGAUGAUUCAGUUUCUAUUUUAAGUAUUUAUUAUUGUUUUAAUGGUUUUGAGAAGGUCUAAUAAACAAUUCCAUCAGUUUUUUUUUUUUUUUAACUUGACCCUAUUUAUCUGUCAAACCAGAAGCAAUUAAAAAAUAAUCCUGAGAGAAAGGGUAGUCCAUCUAACAAAAUUGCCUUUGUUCUUCUGGGAUUUAAGGUAAAUUGUGUUUGUGAAGUAAUCUGUUUGGAUUUAUCCCAUCUCUUUGUUAGCUAAUGGAUUUCUCUUUGUAUUUAAUAAUUAAGGUAGGGACUAUUUCUGAAUAACUGUGGGCUUAAUUUUUUUUUUAAAUGACAGCUCUUAAAGUCUUUCUUUUUUUUUCCCCCUUUUUAUAAAAUGAAAGUCAAAAUUGUUCUCAUUGUGUUGCUUAGGUUGUUCCAUGCAUUAAGAAAACAUUCUACCCGAAAAAAAAUAGUAAAUGACUUUCCUAGACACAUGCCUUCUGCUUAACUAAUGACCCAUUUAGAGGAACCCUGAUCAGUUAUUGCUUCCCUAGGCAUAUAUGUGAUAUAAUGCAUGGAUGGAAGCUAUAGUUACAGAAUUCAUUUUUUAUUUUUCCAAUGAUUUACAGGAAACUACUUUUCUAUCUUGUCUGCAAAAAUACCUUAUUGAUGAAGUUCUCUACAGCCAAAUUAUAAUCUAUAUUAAGGGAAAAAAAUCAAAUAAAGUCUGUUAUUUUUCUCUGUG